UAGGGUGUUGUACAGGUGUGUUGUCUAGGUGUGAUUUACAGGUGUGUUGUCUAGGUGUGAUUUACAGGUUUGUUGUAGAGGCAUGCUGUCCAGGCAUGUUGUACUAGGGUGUUGUACAGGUGUGUUGUCUAGGUGUGAUUUACAGGUGUGUUGUCUAGGUGUGAUUUACAGGUGUGUUGUAGAGGCAUGCUGUCCAGGCAUGUUGUACUAGGGUGUUGUACAGGUGUGUUGUCUAGGUGUGAUUUACAGGUGUGUUGUCUAGGUGUGAUUUACAGGUGUGUUGUAGAGGCAUGCUG